AUGUCUGGCACCAAUGUGGAGUUGGUGUGUUGGAACGUGAGAGGGCUUAAUAGCCCGGCCAAGAAGAAGGCUCUUAGAGAAUUUGUAGAUUCUAUCAAUGCUGCUAUCAUAUGUAUCCAGGAGACCAAAUUGGCCGUUGUGGACAACUUUACUAUUCUGCAAUGUCUUGGCCCGGCAUAUCAUGGCUUCGCUUAUCUCCCGGUCAAUGUGACAUGUGGAGGCAUUCUGUUAGCAUGGAAAUCUACUCUUGUACACAUCACUAACCUUGCCAAUGACUCAAACUUCAUCAUGGGUUAUGUUACUUCCCUGGUGGGAUCGCCCUAG
rnacentral:rRNA from 1 species